rnacentral:rRNA from 1 species
GAUGAACGCUGGCGGCGUGCCUAAUACAUGCAAGUCGAGCGGACAGAUGAGGAGCUUGCUCCUCUGACGUUAGCGGCGGACGGGUGAGUAACACGUGGAUAACCUACCUAUAAGACUGGGAUAACUUCGGGAAACCGGAGCUAAUACCGGAUAAUAUAUUGAACCGCAUGGUUCAAUGGUGAAAGACGGUUUUGCUGUCACUUAUAGAUGGAUCCCGGCCGCAUUAGCUAGUUGGUAAGGUAAUGGGCUACCAAGGCAACGAUGCGUGGCCGACCUGAGAGGCGGAUCGGCCACACUGGAACUGAGACACGGUCCAGACGCCUACGGGAGGCCGCAGUAGGGAAUCUUCCGCAAUGGGCGAAAGCCUGACGGAGCAACGCCGCGUGAGUGAUGAAGGUCUUCGGAUCGUAAAACUCUGUUAUUAGGGAAGAACAAAUGUGUAAGUAACUAUGCACGUCUUGACGGUACCUAAUCAGAAAGCCACGGCUAACUACGUG